rnacentral:rRNA from 1 species
UACGUAGGGUGCAAGCGUUGUCCGGAAUUAUUGGGCGUAAAGAGCUCGUAGGCGGUCUGUCGCGUCGGAUGUGAAAACCCAGGGCUCAACCCUGGGCCUGCAUUCGAUACGGGCAGACUAGAGUUCGGUAGGGGAGACUGGAAUUCCUGGUGUAGCGGUGAAAUGCGCAGAUAUCAGGAGGAACACCGGUGGCGAAGGCGGGUCUCUGGGCCGAUACUGACGCUGAGAAGCGAAAGCAUGGGGAGCGAACAGG